UACGUAGGCAGCAAGCGUUGUUCGGAGUUACUGGGCGUAAAGGGUGUGUAGGCGGUUCUUUAAGUUUGGUGUGAAAUCUCCCGGCUCAACUGGGAGGGUGCGCCGAAUACUGAGGGACUAGAGUACGGGAGAGGAAAGUGGAAUUCCUGGUGUAGCGGUGAAAUGCGUAGAUAUCAAGAGGAACACCUGAGGUGAAGACGGGUUGCUGGGCCAACACUGACGCUGAGGCGCGAAAGCCAGGGGAGCAAACGGG
rnacentral:rRNA from 1 species